AAGGCCACUGAUGCAGCUGGCUCACAUGCUGGGAGGGACACACACUUCCUGUGGUUGACACACCCCCACAGCUGGAAUGCAGGUUGCUAAGCAACAGAAAAUGAAUGCAACCCUAGCUUGGCGCCUCCUGGUGACGUCGGGAUCCAGUGACGUCAGUUGCCUGCGCGCGGACCCGGCUGCACCGAGCGGCGUGGAGUAGAAACGUUCCCACAGCAGAGUAUGCAGAUCACUUCCUCCAGGAGCCGCAUGGUGGGAAAUACAGAGAUGACACAUCUGCCCAACGUUCCAGCCUGACAGAAAGCGGUGACCAUGGUCUGAGGAGGGCCGCAGGACGGACAGCUGUUCUGUGACAUUUCCAGUGAUUAUGAGAAACAUGUACCAGGAACUGUGGGAAACUCUGAGUAUAAAGUGUUUCCCAAAAAUUAUUUGUUAUUCUAAGUGUUACAUCUCGGGGCAGCUUUCCACUAUGGCUUAAUAUAAACCACGUGUUGUGGCAUCAUAAAACGCACCAA